AGAGUUUGAUCCUGGCUCAGGAUGAACGCUAGCUACAGGCUUAACACAUGCAAGUCGAGGGGCAGCAUGUUGGUUGCUUGCAACCAACGAUGGCGACCGGCGCACGGGUGAGUAACGCGUAUCCAACCUACCCUUGUCCAUCGGAUAACCCGUCGAAAGGCGGCCUAACACGAUAUGCGGUUCACAGCAGGCAUCUAACGUGAACGAAAUGUAAAGGAGAAGGAUGGGGAUGCGUCUGAUUAGCUUGUUGGCGGGUAACGGCCACCAAGGCUACGAUCAGUAGGGGUUCUGGAGAGGAAGGUCCCCCANAUUGGAACUGAGACACGGUCCAAACUGACUACGGGAGGCA
rnacentral:rRNA from 1 species